AUUGAACGCUGGCGGCAGGCCUAACACAUGCAAGUCGAGCGGAUGAAGGGAGCUUGCUCCUGGAUUCAGCGGCGGACGGGUGAGUAAUGCCUAGGAAUCUGCCUGGUAGUGGGGGAUAACGUCCGGAAACGGGCGCUAAUACCGCAUACGUCCUGAGGGAGAAAGUGGGGGAUCUUCGGACCUCACGCUAUCAGAUGAGCCUAGGUCGGAUUAGCUAGUUGGUGGGGUAAAGGCCUACCAAGGCGACGAUCCGUAACUGGUCUGAGAGGAUGAUCAGUCAUGAGGGAGAUGAGACACGAGAAAGAACCAGAGGGAGGAGAGGAGGAGGGAAGAGGAGAGAAGGGGCGAAAGCAGACUGACGCCGUGCGGGGUGUGUGAAGAUGGUGGUCGGAUUGAAAAGCACUUGAAGUUGGGAGGAAGGGAAUGAUGUUAAUCCUUUGCUGUUUUGAAGGAAACAACAACAUAAGCACCGGCUAACGUCGUGCCAGGAGCCGCGGUAAUAAUCGGAAGAGAAAACUUCGGAAC
rnacentral:rRNA from 1 species